UACGGGGGGUGCAAGCGUUGUUCGGAAUUAUUGGGCGUAAAGCGUGUCUCGGCGGAUUGAUAAGUCAGAUGUUAAAGAUCCCGGCUCAACUGGGAAUCUGCGUUUGAUACUGUUAGUCUUGAGUCAAGGAGGGAUGAGCGGAAUUCCUGGUGUAGCAGUGAAAUGCGUAGAUAUCAGGAGGAACACCGGUGGCGAAAGCGGCUCAUUGGCCUUGUACUGACGCUAAAGCACGAAAGCGUGGGGAUCAAACAGG
rnacentral:rRNA from 1 species